AGCUUUGCACAGUGGCAGUAUCAUUGCCAAUGAAGUUUAUCCAAGGUGCAAUUAUUGCUAAUUAAAAACUUUUAUUAAAGGC
rnacentral:snRNA from 1 species